GGGUUGCAAAGAGUUAGACAUGAUUUAGCGAGGGAACAACAACAGGAAAGAAUGGAAGAAUGAAUAUUGAGGGAAAGCCUCAAUACAUCUGCCACAAAUAUAUCACAGGAAAGAUGUGGGAGUGAAAUAAGUAAGGCACAUAAGAUCAUUCAACAAUGGGCUUGACACAAGGUAGAUGCGUAUAAAUCUUGGCUCCUUCCCCUUCACCAAACAAAAAGGAACUGCCAAUUGACCUCAAUUUCUUGAGAUAUUGGCCUCCAUUCAAAGUAUAGUUAUGGUAGGGAUGGUUCCACUGGUCUCACCUCCUGGUAUUUACACCAUUAGAUAAUCUCUUCUCCUUGAGCACAAGUUGGACCAAGUGGCUCACUUCUAAUGAAGAGAAUAUAGAAUAGCACUUUUGAGAUAAGGUUAUAAAAGAUUACAAUUUCCACUCACUGGCAUCUUGCUAGUUUAUCUCGUUUGCUCAUUCUGGUGAUGCCAACUGCCAUGUUGUGAUCUGUGCUAUAGAAAGGGCCAUAUGGCAAGGGACAGCCUGUGAGGACCUGAAUCAGGCAAAGAACCACAUGACUGGACUCAGAAGCAGAUUCUUCCCCAGCAGAGCCUUGACAGAACCGUAGCCCAGGCUAACACGGUUAAUGGCAGAUCAUGAGAGAUUCUGAAGCAGAGGACCCAGCUAAACUGCAACUGGAUCCCUGGAUCCCUUAUAGGAGAUAAUAAGUCUUUUCUGAGUUGCUAAGCUCCAGGAUAAUUCGUUGGGAAGAAAUAGAUAAUAAUAAAACAGUGAAAAGUUAUCAAGUUAGAAUGAAUGUAAAUUGUGCUUAUUAUCUGAGAGUCACUGAAGCUGUUAGAAAAAUCAGAGAACCCAACUCCGUUUUUGGAUUUGUGAAUCACUCUGCUGUUGUCCAUAUGCAGGAGCAUUUGCCCACUACUGCAGAGGAUUAAAGCUAAGGAGGUUGGCUGUACCUGACAGGAGGUGCUCAGAAUUGCUGGUUGAAUAGAAAGAAGAAAGGAAGGGAGGGAUGGAUGGAGGGAGAGAGUGAAAGAUGGAGGAAAGGGAGAAAGGGAAAGAGGGGAAAAAAAGGAAAAGAAGGGAUGACAUUAACUCACUUCUGCUCUCACUGUAUUGUCCGCCUUUCUCAGCAGGUCCAUUUGUCUACAUUGCUUCAGUAAAGGUAUCUGGCCAAACAUUGGAGAUUCCAUUCAAGGAUAUGACUGUGUUUUUCCAGAAUUUACAGGAAGUGAAAGAGUAGGAGACAGUGAUUCACAGUACAGACAGACUAUCAUAGAGAAGAGAGAGGAUGGGGAUGGGGAGAGAGAGAACAGUGAGAUCUGAAAAGCCAAGAAUAUAGGGAAUUUGGCUUCUGCAUCCAAGCAGCACCCACCAGAUGGUAAUAAGAUCUUAGAGAAGAAUGGCUGCAAAGCAAGUUCAGGCAGGCUUGAAUAGACACCCAUGCCCCCAACCUCAGCAGGGACUUCUCAAAGGAAAAAGGCUGUAACAGCAGAAACAUUGAUGGCCAGUUCUACCACUUCUAUUCAGCAGUGUGGUGGAGGUUCUUGCCAGCGCAAUAAGAAAAGGAAAUUUUUAAAAUCUAGAUUGAAAAGGAAGAGGUAACACUGUCUUUAUUCAGAGACAACAUGAUAGUCUAUACUGAAAACCUGAAGGACUCUGAAAAAAGCUACUAGAACUAAUAAUUUAGUUAGCAAGGUUGCAGGAUAAAAGAUCAGUACAAAAAUCAAUUAUAUUUCUAUGUACUAGCAACAAAGAAUCCAAAGUUGAAAUUUAAAAAGAAAUACAAUUUGCAACAUCAUCAAAAAAUGUGAAAUACAAAGAUUUAAAUUUGACAAAAGAUGUGAGGCCUAUACAGUGAAAACUACAGAACACUUCUGAGAUUAAACAAAGUAAAAAAAAGUUAAAGGAAGUCUAAAUGAGUGGAUAGAUACACCAUGUUCAUGAGUCAGAAGACUCAAUGUUGCUAAAAAUGUCAGUUCUCCCCAAACUGAGCUAUAGUUUCAAUAUAGUCCCAAUCAAAAUCUCAAUCCCAGAAGAUACUUUAGAUAUUGACAAGGUGAUUCCAAAAUUUAUAUAGAAUGCAAAUAUAAUAUGCUAGCACAUCGUUGAAAACAAUGAAGCUUGAGGUCUUACACUACCUGACUUGUAGACUUAUUAUAAAGCUAAAGUAACCCAGAUCUUGUGGUACUGGCAUCAGAAUAGUGAAAUAGAUCAAUGGAGUGAAACAGUUCAAAUAUAUACACACACACACAACUGAUUUUUGACAGAAGUUCAAAGUCAAGUCAGUGAAAAAAGUCUACUCUUUUCAACACCCUGUGAUGGAACAAUUGGACGUUUAUAUGUAAAACAGCAAAUUUUGAUCCCUACCUCACACUGUACAUAACUAAUAACUCAAAUUGAAUGAUAGAAUAAAAUUUAAAACCUAAAAUAAAACUUAUAGAAUAAAAAAAUAAAAGAAAAAUUUGUGACCCUCAAAGAUUAUUUAGAUAUAUCAAAAGCAUAGUCCAUACAAAGACAAACUGAUAAAUUGACCUUCAUCAAAAUUUAGAACUUCUGGCAUUCAAUAGAGACAGAAAUAAGACACAGAUAAUGAGAAAAUCUUUGCAAAGCAUAUAUCUUCUAAAGGACAUGUAUCCAGGCUGUAAGUUCAGUUGCUCAGUCGUGUCUGACUCUUUGUGAACCCAUGGACUGCAGCACACCAGGCUCCUCUGUCUUCCACAAUCUCUCAGUUUGCUCAAAUUCAUGUCAAGUCAGUCAGUGAUGCUCUGUAAUCUUCUCAUCCUCUGUGGCCCCAUUCUCCCUUUGCCUUCAAUCUUUCCCAGCAUCAGGGUCUUUUCCAAUGAGUUGUGGCCAAAGUAUUAGCUUAUACAUGACUGUUCCUACCAGCUUUAUCU
ensembl:lncRNA